rnacentral:rRNA from 1 species
UGCGUAGGCGGUUUACUAAGUCAGAUGUGAAAGCCCCGGGCUUAACCUGGGAACUGCAUUUGAUACUGGUAGGCUAGAGUAUGAUAGAGGGGGGUAGAAUUCCUGGUGUAGCGGUGAAAUGCGUAGAUAUCAGGAGGAAUACCAGUGGCGAAGGCGGCCCCCUGGAUCAAUACUGACGCUGAGGUACGAAAGCGUGGGUAGCAACA